rnacentral:rRNA from 1 species
CCUACGGGAGGCAGCAGUGGGGAAUAUUGCACAAUGGGCGCAAGCCUGAUGCAGCGACGCCGCGUGAGGGAUGACGGCCUUCGGGUUGUAAACCUCUGUUAGCAUCGAAGAAGCGAAAGUGACGGUAGGUGCAGAGAAAGCGCCGGCUAACUACGUGCCAGCAGCCGCGGUAAUACGUAGGGCGCGAGCGUUGUCCGGAAUUAUUGGGCGUAAAGAGCUUGUAGGCGGUUGGUCGCGUCUGCUGUGAAAGGCUGGGGCUUAACCCUGGUUUUGCAGUGGGUACGGGCUAACUAGAGUGCAGUAGGGGAGACUGGAAUUCCUGGUGUAGCGGUGGAAUGCGCAGAUAUCAGGAGGAACACCGAUGGCGAAGGCAGGUCUCUGGGCUGUAACUGACGCUGAGAAGCGAAAGCAUGGGGAGCGAACAGGAUUAGAUACCCUUGUAGUC